UGUGCAAUCAAGUUGGAGAGAGCAGCAGAGUGAUGCAUCAGUGUUUUGCUGGAGCUGAUUAAGAUUAAAGUCAAUUUUGUGGUUCAAGAAGCCAUUAUAGUUAUUAAAGACAUUCGGAAGAUAUCCUAACACGCUGAGAAGAUUGAAGAGAAGAGGAAGCUUGAAGAGGAAGACUUAGCUAGAUUGACUAAAGAGAAGGAAAGCCAUGACUUAGAAUUUUUCUGUCCAUCAAUGCAAAUCUUUUAAUUUAUGGAACGAUUUAAAAAAUCCACUCAAAUCUUUUUCUGCAGGUUUACGGGUUGAAGCAUUAGCUGACGCAGCAGAGAACUAUCACCAAGUUCUUGCAGAAAAUAGGAGGCUAUUUAAUGAGGCAGAAAGGUGCAGUCCUUGACAACCAACCAAUUCCAACUAAUUCAGUUCCAUCUCAUGAAAAACCACGGUUUUGAUAUUUUGUUGAAUGUGAAGAUGCUGCGGAUGAGAAGUUUAUGAUUUGGUACUCAGGCCAAGAGGAAAAGCAAUUGAGACUAAGCU